rnacentral:rRNA from 1 species
GAUGAACGCUAGCUACAGGCUUAACACAUGCAAGUCGAGGGGUAGCAGGGUAGCAAUACCGCUGACGACCGGCGCACGGGUGAGUAACACGUAUCCAACCUUCCCAUAACUCGGGGAUAGCCUUUCGAAAGAAAGAUUAAUACCCGAUAGUACUUAACAAAGGCAUCUUUGAUAAGUUAAAGAUUUAUUGGUUAUGGAUGGGGAUGCGUUCCAUUAGAUAGUUGGUGAGGUAACGGCUCACCGAGUCUUCGAUGGAUAGGGGUUCUGAGAGGAAGGUCCCCCACAUUGGUACUGAGACACGGACCAAACUCCUACGGGAGGCAGCAGUGAGGAAUAUUGGUCAAUGGGCGAGAGCCUGAACCAGCCAAGUAGCGUGAAGGAUGAAGGUCCUAUGGAUUGUAAACUUCUUUUAUAGUAGAAUAAAGUGACCUACGUGUAGGUUUUUGUAUGUAUACUAUGAAUAAGGAUCGGCUAACUCCGUGCCAGCAGCCGCGGUAACAC